GCGCGAGUGCUGGAAUUGGCAGACAGGCACGUUUGAGGGGCGUGUGAGUUUUCUCGUACGAGUUCAAGUCUCGUCUCGCGCACCA
rnacentral:tRNA from 1 species